rnacentral:rRNA from 1 species
GUGGGGAAUCUUCCGCAAUGGACGAAAGUCUGACGGAGCAACGCCGCGUGAGUGAUGAAGGUCUUCGGAUUGUAAAGCUCUGUUAAUCGGGACGAAAGAGCCUAGUGUGAAUAAUGCUAGGAAGUGACGGUACCGGAAUAGAAAGCCACGGCUAACUACGUGCCAGCAGCCGCGGUAAUACGGAGGUGGCAAGCGUUGUCCGGAAUUAUUGGGCGUAAAGCGCGCGCAGGCGGAUCUGCCAGUCUGUCUUAAAAGUUCGGGGCUUAACCCCGUGAUGGGAUGGAAACUACAGAUCUAGAGUAUCGGAGAGGAAAGUGGAAUUCCUAGUGUAGCGGUGAAAUGCGUAGAUAUUAGGAAGAACACCAGUGGCGAAGGCGACUUUCUGGACGAAAACUGACGCUGAGGCGCGAAAGCCAGGGGAGCGAACGGGAUUAGAAACCCCGGUAGUCC